UACAGAGGGUGCAAGCGUUAAUCGGAAUUACUGGGCGUAAAGCGCGCGUAGGUGGUUUGUUAAGUUGGAUGUGAAAGCCCCGGGCUCAACCUGGGAACUGCAUUCAAAACUGACAAGCUAGAGUAUGGUAGAGGGUGGUGGAAUUCCACGUGUAGCGGUGAAAUGCGUAGAGAUGUGGAGGAACACCGAUGGCGAAGGCAGCCUUCUGGGCCAACACUGACGCUCAUGCACGAAAGCGUGGGGAGCAAACAGG
rnacentral:rRNA from 1 species